UUCAAAAACCAUCUCUGCCACAACAUGACUGCCCUUCCAAGGACCCGUGUUGUUGGUUUAAUUGAGAAAUUAUUCCUAAUAAGUCCCAAGGAGAUACAGGUCUUUUCCUUACAAACAGGGAAUGAUCAUAUCUCCUGGCAGCUCAUUACACAUUCUUUUGGUACCAUGAGUUGUUUUAAAACCGUGAAAUUAGUUCUGGCAGAGUUUACAGAAAAACACCCAUGAGAUGAGACUGAAUGAGUUAUGUAAGCCUCCUCGUACUCUGCGUAUGAGAUAUUAACUCUGUACUGGCAGAGCCAAGGACAUAGAUGUCACUUGCAAAGCAGCAGCACACUUUGGCCUCUGCCAAGACUAGCACGUGGUUGAGGGGGAGAAUCAGUCAUCUGGACAUGGAUCUGGAUGUGCCUGCCCAUCAAACCAUCACCUGUGUCUAGCCACAUCCUCCUCCUCCACUUGAGGUCGUGGAGGCACCCAGACAGGUGAAGGAAGAAGGGACUUGCCUAUAGAAAUCUGUUCUACUAACAUUCCAGACUUUUUCCAGGGGGUAGGUUGACACGUGGGUGUGGAUACUGAAGCCUUUAAGAUCAACCGGGUAUCAAAAACAUGAAUACAGUCAUCACUGUUGGAGAGCUGUCAUAGACCAGCCCCAGUUCAACUAGGAGGGUGGCUGCUUUGAUCAAUGGAGCUUGAAUUCUGGCAUGAAGGAGACACAUAUUACAAAAGUUUUACCUGGCAACAGUCACUAACCAAUGAGCGUUAAACAAGUUGGUAUGUUCAUGAGCUGUUUCUUCUUUCUCUUCUUCCUAUAGACAUACACACACAUUUAACCGAGAGUGUAGCUCCAAAAGAUACAUCAAAAUAUAUAAGGAAUAUUCUACCAAUAAGAUGCAAUACUUCAUAAUUUCAUUUAUUUAGAAAAUAGCAAGGAAACAGAAAACAAGUUAGAAAAAAAAAAAAAGCCUGCUCAAGGUAUGUCUCAAAGAUCAAAUACUUAAAUCUGGAGAAGCCCUUAGGGUGCUAUUCAGAAUUCAUGGACUCUUAUUUCAUAGAGAAACCACAAACUUGGUUAUCUGGUUCCUAAAACCAAACACUGGCUUCUGAGAAGGGCAAGAGGAAGCCCCACAGGCCAGACGCCCUGACUGCAGCAUAGGUGACUCCUGACCGCCGAAGGAGGAAGAUCCAAGACUUGGAGCAAGCGGAAGUAAUCAGAAAUCGAAUAGCCUGGAGCCAGCAAACCUGACCCACCCGAACAGGCAGCCUGACAGAGUACAAACUUAGGAGUCAUGCAGACCCAAGUCUGAAGGCCAGACUUCGCAACUUAUUUGCUGUGCAGUCUUGGAUAUUUCUGUGUCUUCAGAAAUGAAAUCCUUUGCCCAGAUUCAAUAAGGCAGGAAAUCAAUUAAGGUUUUCAUUUUCUGCUCAGCCUCAAAAGCAAGACAAUGAGAGAAGGCCUAAGUAAAGAAAAUGUGUACAGAUUCCUGGAGGUUUCAUUCUGGGUUCUAUGUUCUGGAAAAAUAAAUAAAACAAUAACAAAGAGC